GCCAGACGUGGUGGCGCACGCCUGUAAUCCCAGCUACUCAGGAGGCUGAGGCAGGAGAAUCGCUUGAACCCAGGACGUGGAGGUUGCAGUGGGCCAAUAUUGGUCCACUGCACUCCAGCCUGGGUGACAAAGAGAGACUCCACCUCAA
rnacentral:sRNA from 1 species